UGCCGUGUCUGGAUUGCAGCAAGAUGCGAGGGUAGAGAAGUCAGCAUUUGAACAACACAAAGUACCAAAGACUGAGAAAUCCUCAGUGGUGUGGGAGCUUUGAUGACAUAUGAAUGCAGUGCAUACCACAGUUCCAGAUGUAGAAGAGCUCCCCAAAGUAUGUGCUGAACAAACCAACGAAUAAGACCAACUUAAAGCUCAAAGCUGCAAAAUGGAGAAACACGAUAGUGACUCAUUCUAUGAAACUUGAAAUAAAAAAAUGUUUGAACUGUA